GUGAUCUGCCCUGCACUCUGGGAUAAGCCUGGGAAACUGGGUCUAAUACCGGAUAGGACCAUGCUUUAGUGUGUGUGGUGGAAAGUUUUUCGGUGUAGGAUGAGCCCGCGGCCUAUCAGCUUGUUGGUGGGGUAAUGGCCUACCAAGGCGGCGACGGGUAGCCGGACUGAGAGGUUGGUCGGCCACAUUGGGACUGAGAUACGGCCCAG
rnacentral:rRNA from 1 species